UACGUAGGGUGCAAGCGUUAAUCGGAAUUACUGGGCGUAAAGCGUGCGCAGGCGGUUCUGCAAGACAGAUGUGAAAUCCCAGGGCUCAACCUUGGAACUGCAUUUGUGACUGCAGUGCUGGAGUACGGUAGAGGGGGAUGGAAUUCCGCGUGUAGCAGUGAAAUGCGUAGAGAUGCGGAGGAACACCGAUGGCGAAGGCAGUCCCCUGGACCUGUACUGACGCUCAUGCACGAAAGCGUGGGGAGCAAACAGG
rnacentral:rRNA from 1 species